rnacentral:rRNA from 1 species
UGAGGAAAGUAGGGGAUCGAAAGACCUUGCGCUUAAGGAGCGGCCGAUGCCUGAUUAGCUAGUUGGUGGGGUAAAGGCCUACCAAGGCAACGAUCAGUAGUUGGUCUGAGAGGACGACCAACCACACUGGGACUGAGACACGGCCCAGACUCCUACGGGAGGCAGCAGUGGGGAAUUUUGGACAAUGGGCGCAAGCCUGAUCCAGCCAUGCCGCGUGAGUGAAGAAGGCCUUCGGGUUGUAAAGCUCUUUCAGUUGGGAAGAAACGAUUGCAACUAAUAAUUGUAAUUAAUGACGGUACCGACAGAAGAAGCACCGGCUAACUACGUGCCAGCAGCCGCGGUAAUACGUAGGGUGCGAGCGUUAAUCGGAAUUACUGGGCGUAAAGGGUGCGCAGGCGGUUUUGUAAGUCAGAUGUGAAAUGCCCCGGGCUUACCUGGGAAUGGCGUUUGAAACUACAAAGCUAG